UAUGAGCAUCAAAUUCAAAUCUGAUCUGAUGAAAGGAAAUAGCAUUUGUGAGUGGAUAUCCAUAGCAUAAGCCUCAGUCCUAUUCAAGCAUAUGCCAAACCUCUUUUUACCAGUUUGGUUUAUUCCAUCCUUCAGAGUUCUGAGUUCUAAGCAAAUCUUGCAGUAUAAAAAGAUAGAGUGCUCAAAGCUGAAGGAGGCAACUGCUUCAUCAUCAGUAAGCAAAUCAGCAAUAGGGCACCUCUUCACUGGCAUGUACAAGUAUACUAUACUAAUUCUUCAAGUAUUUCUACGGUCACAUACAUAACAUGCCAAAGGAGAGUUGCCCUGUUGCUGCUUUAGCUUAAAAUAAUCUCAAAAUGCUAAUCUUUACAUUUAUAUAUGUACUUAAGCUAUUAAGACCAAGGCCCCGAUCUGAAAAGCUUCUUGUCUCUUGGAGAUGAAGUCAUGAAGAAACAUUACUUACGUGCAAUUUUCUUUUUCGUCAAAACGAACCAUAUUUCAAGUGUAAUAAACGGCUUUUUUAAAGCCCAUCAUGGGCCAAUCCAUGUAUGAAUAACUGUACUCUAUUAGGCCCAUUCAUUCUAGAAUUUUUGGGUCUAUGAUUUUGGAAAAGCCCCUGUUCCUUCA